CAUAGCGCUAAGAGGCGAACUCGGGGAACUGAAACAUCUAAGUACCCGAAGGAAAAGAAAUCAAUUGAGAUUCCGGCAGUAGCGGCGAGCGACCCCGGAGCAGCCCUUAAGCGGCUUAGGCGUUAGGUGAACAGGUUGGAAAACCUGGCAAUAAAGGGUGAUAGCCCCGUAACCGACGGCGCCUUAGGCGUGAAAACGAGUAAGACGGGACACGUGAUAUCUUGUCUGAACAUGGGGGGACCAUCCUCCAAGGCUAAAUACUCCUGACUGACCGAUAGUGAACCAGUACCGUGAGGGAAAGGCGAAAAGAACCCCUGUGAGGGGAGUGAAAUAGAACCUGAAACCGUCUACGUACAAGCAGUGGGAGCCUCUUUUAUGGGGUGACCGCGUACCUUUUGUAUAAUGGGUCAGCGACUUAAUGUAAGUAGCCAGGUUAACCGCAUAGGGGAGCCGUAGGGAAACCGAGUCUUAACU
rnacentral:rRNA from 1 species